GACGAACGCUUGCGGCGUGCCUAAGAAAUGCAAGUCGAACGGGCAAUCCAGCAAUGGGUUGUUAGUGGCGAACGGUCGCGUAACACGUAAGCAACCUGCCUCGAAGUGGGGGACAACAGUCCGAAAGGUCUGCUAAUACCGCAUGUGGCCACUGGAUCGCAUGAUCUAGUGUCUAAAGGAUUUAUUCGCUUCGAGAUGGGCUUGCGGCCUAUCAGGUAGUUGGUGGGUAAUGGCCUACCAAGCCGACGACGGGUAGCUGGUCUGAGAGGACGAUCAGCCGGAUUGGGACUGAGAUACGGCCCAGACUCCUACGGGGGGCAGCAAUUAGGAAUCUUGCGCAAUGGGGGAAACCCUGACGCAGCGACGUCGCGUGAAGGAUGAAGGU
rnacentral:rRNA from 1 species